AUUGAAACACCAAUUUCCAUAUGAUCACUGAAGUUAAGCAAUUUCAAGCCUGGUCAGUAUUUGGAUGGGUGACCACUUGGGAAAUGCC